GGUGGCUCAGAGGUAGAGUACUUGCCUUGCAUGCAUGAGGCCCUGGGUUCGAUUCCUCAGCACCA
rnacentral:tRNA from 1 species